rnacentral:rRNA from 2 species
GGCGAACGGGUGAGUAACACGUGGGCAAUCUGCCCUGCACUCUGGGACAAGCCCUGGAAACGGGGUCUAAUACCGGAUACGAGCUCCCAUCGCAUGGUGGGGGUUGGAAAGCUCCGGCGGUGCAGGAUGAGCCCGCGGCCUAUCAGCUUGUUGGUGAGGUAACGGCUCACCAAGGCGACGACGGGUAGCCGGCCUGAGAGGGCGACCGGCCACACUGGGACUGAGACACGGCCCAGACUCCUACGGGAGGCAGCAGUGGGGAAUAUUGCACAAUGGGCGAAAGCCUGAUGCAGCGACGCCGCGUGAGGGAUGACGGCCUUCGGGUUGUUAAACCUCUUUCAGCCAGGGAAGAAGCGAAAGUGACGGUACCUGCAGAAGAAGCGCCGGCUAACUACGUGCCAGCAGCCGCGGUAAUACGUAGGGCGCAAGCGUUGUCCGGAAUUAUUGGGCGUAAAGAGCUCGUAGGCGGCUUGUCGCGUCGGAUGUGAAAGCCCGGGGCUUAACCCCGGGUCUGCAUUCGAUACGGGCAGGCUAGAGUUCGGUAGGGGAGAUCGGAAUUCCUGGUGUAGCGGUGAAAUGCGCAGAUAUCAGGAGGAACACCGGUGGCGAAGGCGGAUCUCUGGGCCGAUACUGACGCUGAGGAGCGAAAGCGUGGGGAGCGAACAGGAUUAGAUACCCUGGUAGUCCACGCCGUAAACGGUGGGCACUAGGUGUGGGCAACAUUCCACGUUGUCCGUGCCGCAGCUAACGCAUUAAGUGCCCCGCCUGGGGGAGUACGGCCGCAAGGCUAAAACUCAAAGGAAUUUGACGGGGGCCCGCACAAGCGGCGGAGCAUGUGGCUUAAUUCGACGCAACGCGAAGAACCUUACCAAGGCUUGACAUACACCGGAAACAUCUAGAGAUAGGUGCCCCCUUGGUGGUCGGUGUACAGGUGGUGCAUGGCUGUCGUCAGCUCGUGUCGUGAAGAUGUUUGGGUUAAGUCCCGCAACGAGCGCAACCCUUGUCCCGUGUUGCCAGCAGGGCCUUGUGGUGCUGGGGACUCACGGGAGACCGCCGGGGUCAACUCGGAGGAAGGUGGGGACGACGUCAAGUCAUCAUGCCCCUUAUGUCUUGGGCUGCACACGUGCUACAAUGGCCGGUACAAAGAGCUGCGAUACCGCGAGGUGGAGCGAAUCUCAAAAAGCCGGUCUCAGUUCGGAUUGGGGUCUGCAACUCGACCCCAUGAAGUCGGAGUCGCUAGUAAUCGCAGAUCAGCAUUGCUGCGGUGAAUACGUUCCCGGGCCUUGUCCACACCGCCCGUCACGUCACGAAAGUCGGUAACACCCGAAGCCGGUGGCCCAACCCCUUGUGGGAGGGAGCCGU